rnacentral:rRNA from 1 species
CCUAUUGAGGUAGUGCCUCGGAGCGUGUGUCGCGGAGGUAGAGCACUGAAAGGACGCGGGGGCCCACCGGCUUACCAACUCCUAUCAAACUCCGAAUGCCGUGGACAUGGACUCCGGGAGACAGCACACGCGCGAUAAUGUGCGUGUACGAGAGGGAAAGAACCCAGACCGCCGGCUAAGGCCCCGAAGUGUCGUCUCAGUGAGAAAGGAUGUGGGUGUGCACUGACAACUGGGAGGUUGGCUUAGAAGCAGCCAUACCUUGAAAGAGUGCGUAAUAGCUCACCAGUCAAGUGCGCCUGCGCCGAUAAUGGUCGGGACUCAAGACGAUCGCCGAAGCCGCGGAUUCGACUCUCUCCUUCGGGAGGAGAGUGGGAUGGUAGGGGAGCGUUCCGGUAGCGGAGAAGCGGGGGUGGAAACCUUCCCGUGGAGCGGCCGGAAGUGAGGAUGCCGGAAUGAGUACGCGAUAACGGGGGUGAGAAUCCCCCGCACCGAAAGCCUAAGGGUUCCAGGGGCAGGCUCGUCCGCCCUGGGUCAGUCGGACCCUAAGCCGAGGCCGAAGGGCGUAGGCGAUGGGAAGCGGGCGAACAUUCCCGCACCACAGGAUGCGCGUUACCACCCGCAGGGGGGACGCAGGAGUGGAAGCAGGGCCGGGCGCUGGUCGUCCCGGUGCAAGGAGGUAGGCGGUCCGGGGGGAUAAAAGACCCUGGCAGCCGAGACCCGAUGCCGAGGUGAGGACUUGUCCUUGCUGAGUUUGCCUAAUCAGGCUGCCGAGAAAAGCCUCGGCGGGGAGUUCAUCCUGUGACCGUACCGCAAACGGACACACGUAGGCGAGGCGAGAAGCCUCAGGUGCUCGAGUGAACUGUGGAGAAGGAACUCGGCAAAAUGUCCCCGUAACUUCGGGAGAAGGGGAGCCGGUGGUAGUUGAGCGCCCUUCGCGGGCGUGAGGCCAAGCCGGCCGCAGAGAAUCGGCCCAAGCGACUGCUUAGCAAAAACACAGGUGUCUGCGAAGUCGUGCAAGACGACGUAUAGGCACUGACGCCUGCCCGGUGCCGGAAGGUUAAGAGGAGGGGUCAGCCGCAAGGUGAAGCUCUGAAUCGAAGCCCCGGUAAACGGCGGCCGUAACGAUAACGGUCCUAAGGUAGCGAAAUUCCUUGUCGGGUAAGUUCCGACCUGCACGAAUGGCGUAACGACUUGGGCGCUGUCUCCUCCACAAGCUCGGCGAAAUUGGAGUCUCGGUGAGGAUACCGAGUACCCGCGACAGGACAAAAAGACCCCGUGCACCUUUACUGCACCCUGACAUUGUUCUUCGGCACCACUUGUGUAGCAUAGGUGGGAGGCUGUGAGGCGGGCCCGCCAGGGCUCGUGGAGCCAUCAGUGAAAUACCACCCUGGUGAUGUUGGAGAUCUAACCUGACGCCCCUGAAGCGGGGCGAGGGACCGUGUCAGGCGGGCAGUUUGACUGGGGCGGUCGCCUCCCA